GAUGAACGCUGGCGGCGUGCCUAAUACAUGCAAGUCGAGCGAACGGGCGAGAAGCUUGCUUCUCUGAUGUUAGCGGCGGACGGGUGAGUAACACGUGGAUAACCUACCUAUAAGACUGGGAUAACUUCGGGAAACCGGAGCUAAUACCGGAUAAUAUUUUGAACCGCAUGGUUCAAAAGUGAAAGACGGUCUUGCUGUCACUUAUAGAUGGAUCCGCGCUGCAUUAGCUAGUUGGUAAGGUAACGGCUUACCAAGGCAACGAUGCAUAGCCGACCUGAGAGGGUGAUCGGCCACACUGGAACUGAGACACGGUCCAGACUCCUACGGGAGGCAGCAGUAGGGAAUCUUCCGCAGUGGGCGAAAGCCUGACGGAGCAACGCCGCGUGAGUGAUGAAGGCCUUCGGAUCGUAAAACUCUGUUAUUAGGGAAGAACAUAUGUGUAAGUAACUGUGCACAUCUUGACGGUACCUAAUCAGAAAGCCACGGCUAACUACGUG
rnacentral:rRNA from 1 species